GCUUGUCUCAAAGAUUAAGCCAUGCAUGUCUAAGUAUAAACAAAUUUAUAGUGAAACUGCGAAUGGCUCAUUAUAUCAGUUAUAGUUUAUUUGGCGAUAAAAACUACUUGGAUAACCGUAGUAAUUCUAGAGCUAAUACAUGCAUUAAACCCCGACUUCUGGAAGGGGUGUAUUUAUUAGAUGGAAACCAAUGCGGGGCAACCCGGAAUAUGGUGAUUCAUAAUAACUUUCGGAUCGAUUUAUCGAUGCAUCAUUCAAGUUUCUGCCCUAUCAGCUUUGGAUGGUAGGGUAUUGGCCUACCAUGGCUUUAACGGGUAACGGAGAAUUAGGGUUCGAUUCCGGAGAGGGAGCCUGAGAAAUGGCUACCACAUCCAAGGAAGGCAGCAGG
rnacentral:rRNA from 1 species